rnacentral:misc_RNA from 1 species
AAGUCGUAACAAGGUCUCCGUAGGUGAACCUGCGGAGGGAUCAUUAACAAUUACAAAUUUACGAUGUAUUUCCAUUGAUUUAUUGAGCGAAGCGAGAUGAAUCAAUGGAAAUGCAGAGUUUAAGUAAAAUGAGUAAUAUGAAAUAAUAUAACAGUAUCAUUUCAUUUUACAGAUUUUACACUGAAGAAGAAGAGUGUUAUAUAUGGCAGUAAAAUGCUUUAUAUGCAAAUAUAUUGCAGUAAAAUGCUUUAUAUUCUUUGGAUUCAAAACAAACUGCAGUAGUGCUGUAGCUAACGCUACAACACUACUACAGUUUAAACACACGAUAAAAUUCGACAAAAUAGACAAAAGAAAUCACUUUUAACAAUGGAUCUCUUGGCUCUU